rnacentral:rRNA from 1 species
CACGUAGGGCGCAAGCGUUGUCCGGAAUUAUUGGGCGUAAAGAGCUCGUAGGCGGUCUGUUGCGUCCGCUGUGAAAACUCGGGGCUUAACCCCGAGCCUGCAGUGGAUACAGGCAGACUAGAGGUAGGUAGGGGAGAAUGGAAUUCCCGGUGUAGCGGUGAAAUGCGCAGAUAUCGGGAAGAACACCCGUGGCGAAGGCGGCUCUCUGGGACGGUACUGACGCUGAGACGCGAAAGCCAGGGGAGCAAACGGG